GAUGAACGCUGGCGGCGCGCCUAACACAUGCAAGUCGAACGGAGUUAUCUUAUUAGAUCCCUUCGGGGUGAAGAUUUUUUAACUUAGUGGCGAACGGGUGAGUAACGCGUGAGUAACCUGCCUUCAAGAGGGGGACAACAGUUGGAAACGACUGCUAAUACCGCAUAAUAUAUCGAGAUCGCAUGAUUUUGAUAUCAAAGGAGCAAUCCGCUUGAAAGAUGGUCUCGCGUCUGAUUAGCUAGUUGGCGGGGUAACGGCCCACCAAGGCGACGAUCAGUAGCCGGUCUGAGAGGAUGAACGGCCACAUUGGGACUGAGAUACGGCCCAGACUCCUACGGGAGGCAGCAGUGGGGAAUAUUGGGCAAUGGGGGAAACCCUGACCCAGCAACGCCGCGUGAAGGAAGAAGGCCUCGGGUUGGUAAACUUCUUUUAGUCAGGGACGAAGGACGUGACGGUACCUGCAGAAAAAGACAACGGCUAACUACGUAG
rnacentral:rRNA from 1 species